rnacentral:lncRNA from 1 species
CCUAUUCUGUGCAGGGUAUUCGACUGGGAUUUCAUAGACGCCUGCCCUCUCGAAGUGGCUGCGUUGGUCCUUAUCGUUUCGCAGGAUGUUGAAGAUUGUUGGUGCCCUCCUGGAAGCUAAUUUCUUCCUAAUUUUGCAUGCUAUACCUCUCACUGUGGCUAGUCUGCUGGUAUUAUACGGUAUAGGUAGAUAUUCAUUCUGGUGGGUGUCUUGCGCUGCUGCCUGGUUCUGGUUGGUGAGGGCUCUUUAUUCCCCGGUGGACGUUAUUUAUAAAACUGUUCGUAUAUCCAUGCAUUCGGCCUGCCUCAUAUAUGUAGUCAAGUUCCGCUUGGAGCGCUUGACUAUCGGUGGUGUAUGCGUAGGAGCAUAAAAGGGAUCUUGGAGCGGGCGGAGCAGCAGCGGCCCUGGCGGGGGGGGCUUGCGCCAGCAGCGUCGGAGUCGGCUGGGACCGGGCAGG